AUUCUUACUCUGUCCAUACCUAGUGAAAUGGAUGAGUUUGGCCUGAGUAUGAAUUGAAAGCCCCAGUCCUGUGAUGAGGUCUGCGUGGGGUCAGGGAUCCACCUGCCUGGAGCUUGUUGCAGGAUCGGGGUCUGAGCUCAGGAUUUGGCCAAUUUAUGUAGCAGUAUAUACACGGAAUAUGUUGGCUGCCCUUUAGUGAUAGUUCUAAAUAUAGUGCUGCUAAGUACAGGAAAUCACACUACUGAGAGGAGGGGAAUCUUCCCUGCCCUGGGGUAACAAAGCAAUCAUAACAUCCCCUUUGGGAAUACCAGGCCUAGGCCCCUGCUCUUGGGGAGUUGCCAGCAGGGCAGGCGUGUAUGAGAAAAAAAACCUCUGGAGGUAGUUAAUUAGGAAUGUAGUUAUCUAGUUGGGAGUGAUGGGGUUGCCUAGGUGUAAAUGAGGGCAGAAUUUUGUCUUCAUAUAUUGUGCUGUAGGUAGGAAUUGUAAUUCCCUCCAUUCAUGUUCGGUUUGUUUCUGUGGUAAAUUGAGACACUGGCAAUUGACCUUUACCACAUCAACUGUUGUUAGAGUCAGACCCUGGCCGAUUUGCUGAGUAUGAAAUGAAUAUAGCGUUGAAUGAAGCCAGCAGCUAAAUUUGUGUCUUCAGACUGAUAAACAUCUUAGGUAUUAGACUGUAGAAGUACUUGGUGACUGCCUCGUUGGGCUGCUGACCUGUGCUGAAGACUUCCCAUGGUCUGUAACGUUCCAUGUUAAUGUCUUGUAGCUUGUAGGGUAGAACAUUUAAUGGGCUUGAGAUAUUCAUUCGGCAGAUUAAACCAGCACAUUUGAAACUGGCUUGAAAUCAACAGUCAGUUCCACUUUGGGUUGGAGAAUAAGCUUAGGGGAAAGGGAAACCUGGUACUGGAAUUACUGAAUAAACAAGAGGGAGUUGUAGUGUAGUGAAUGUAAAUUUACCCCUUUGCUGCUGGGCUGAUUCCCUUAACCUCGACUUUAUGCGGCUAUUGUAAGAAUUUGUCCAACUUCCUCCAAAGGGGUAGUGGUUGCUAUGCACAGCUUGAGUUCGUGAUUGUGACUUUUCUAGUUAAUUCUCAUAGUUUGCUUUACAAAGUACAUAUUUGGCCUGUAUACGUGCAUGUUCUUCUUAUGGUUUCCUUUGUCCACCCUCCCCCAUGUCUUCCAAUUGUUAGUUACCGCCAUUGGUUGUUGCUUGUCUGGAUGAGAAUGUAUGGACAUCAAGGCAGGGCCUCGCUUUCACUCUGGGUUUGUGCAGCACCGCACACAAUGCUGUACAAACCCUGACCGGGCCCUCUAUGUGCGGCCAUGACACAUAUUAAGAAUAAUAAUGAACGCCAAAGUGGGAAAAAACUGGACGUUGUGCAUCUCUUAGCCGAAAGAAGGACAAUUAUAGUCAAGGUGUUUUAUUUAGCAAAUCCUCGUCAGCAGUUUUCACGGAGACUUGAAUGCUUUGACGCAAAGGCUGGGGACUACAUUUAUAAACUUAAAAAUCUGUCCCUUUAGGGAGAUCUUUUCCUCUGUUACUGGAAAUGGAGGAAAAAAAUAUUUGUGAAUUUCCUCUCUCAGGUCUGCGAAGACUUUGAGAUUAUCCAUCCAUCGGCGAGAUACAUAAUGGUCUUUGUAAUUCAUAUAAUUCUUUUUUAUUUCUAAACACCAUAAAGCAGAUGGGCCCUGAUGUAACAAGCUGCUGUCCUGAAAUCUGUAAUGUACAUAGAGAUGAUCUAACUGAAGUCCAUGGAUUCCCAUUGUCUUCAGUCAGCAUUGGCUCAGGCCCAUACCCUUCUGGGUUUGAAGGUAAAAUUGAAUCCUUUUUGUUUCUUGCCUUCCCCCAGUCCCAUCGCAAGUUUUCAGCUCCCAGGCAUGGCCACUUGGGCUUCCUCCCUCAUAAGAGAAGCCGGCGUCACCGAGGGAAGGUGAAGACCUGGCCCAACGAUGAUCCCAGCAAGCCAGUCCACCUGACAGCCUUUCUGGGCUACAAAGCUGGCAUGACGCACAUCCUACGAGAAGUUCACAGGCCAGGACUGAAGCUUUCCAAGAGGGAAGAGGUGGAAGCAGUCACAAUAGUGGAGACCCCGCCUCUGGUAGUGGUUGGGCUUGUGGGAUACAUAGACACCCCAAGGGGCCUGAGAAAUUUCAGGACCAUUUUUGCUGAGCACCUCAGCGAUGAGUGCAGACGCCGCUUCUACAAGAACUGGCACAAGAGUAAGAAGAAGGCCUUCACCAAGUAUUGCAAAAAAUGGCAGGACAAGGACGGGAAGAAACAGCUAGAGAAGGAUUUUGUGGCCAUGAAGAAGUACUGCAAGAUCAUUCGUGUCAUCGUCCACACUCAGAUGAAGCUGCUCCCGCUGCGUCAGAAGAAGGCCCAUGUGAUGGAGAUUCAGCUGAAUGGCGGGACAGUGGCCGACAAGGUGGACUGGGCUCACGAGAAGCUGGAGAAGCAGGUCUCUGUGCACACAGUCUUCAGCCAGAACGAAAUGAUCGACGUCAUCGGGGUGACCAAGGGGCGCGGGAUGAAAGGGGUAACCAGCCGCUGGCAUGCCAAGAAGCUCCCAAGGAAAACUCACAAAGGCUUACGCAAAGUGGCCUGCAUUGGAGCCUGGCAUCCAGCCCGGGUGGGCUACUCCAUUGCCCGGGCUGGCCAGAAGGGCUACCACCAUCGCACGGAGCUCAACAAGAAGAUUUACCGUAUUGGCCGUGGGGUCCACGUACAAGAUGGCAAAAUAGUGAAGAACAGCGCCGCGACGAACUACGAUGUCACCGAGAAGACGAUCACGCCACUGGGUGGAUUUCCUCACUAUGGUGCAGUCAACAAUGAUUUCAUCAUGCUGAAGGGCUGCGUCAUGGGCACGAAGAAACGGGUGCUCACGCUCAGAAAGUCCCUUCUAGUGCACAGCAGCCGUCGGGCUCUGGAACCCAUCGAACUGAAGUUCAUUGAUACCACUUCCAAGUUUGGCCAUGGCUGCUUCCAGACUUCUCAAGAGAAGAGAGCUUUCAUGGUAAGGAGGACUGGCUAUAAAAGCCCUUCACACCACUCUCGGGAUGGCUGGAGGUUAAUGCACAGGGCUGCAGCUUCGACACUGACCACUCCUGGAGAUUCUCCUUUUGCUCAUGUGCUAGGGGGCUGAGCUUAUGGAGCAGGAAGAUACGAGUUCUGUCCCUGCUGUCACCUCUGAGUGGCCAGGGUGGCAGCAUGGUGACAUUGAUUAAGUCCUAAGUGGCCACAGAAAUACUGCUCUAUUAAACCCAUUAUCUUGAAGCAGCUGAACUUCACCUGUCGAGGGCUGAGCAUCCAGAACCUUCCCCACAUUUUAAUUUAAUUCAGUAACAUUUAGCUGGGCAGAAGCAAAACAAUAGCCCCACAAAGCACGGACCACCAUUUUCUCCCUCUCUUGUAAACUAGAAGAGCUGGGACCCCAUCCUCAGCAGGUGUAAAUCUGUGUCGCUCCAUUGACUCAGCUGAGAAUCUAUCCCCUUGAUGGUAACCCAAACCAGAAACCCCUACUCCAAAAUUCUGCUCAGAAGGAGUUGUCAUAUGCAACCUCCUGAAACAGGAUUGUAUAGGAAAUUCUCCUGACACAACCUCAUCUGUCUGGUCACAGUCAUGAUGCUAUAAUGUAAUCAAUAUGAUUACUUUACCACUCAAUCUUCCCAAUCACCCCAGGCCAGCUUGCUGGGCUCAGUAGCAAACCAGUCAUUGAAGUUUUCCAUGCUGCCCAGCUAAGCAAACUGCCAGUCCAGGGACAGGCAAUUCAUUACCCCCAUUCCUCCAGGGUUAGGAGGGUUUCUAGAGACCACAGCUAGACAGCUGCUGCUGUUCAGGAGGAGAGCUGAGAGUUCGCAGCCAGGGAAUAGAAGUGAACAGCUAGUGUUGCAAGCCUUGUGCAGUGAAAAGUGGUCACAUCUGAAUAGAAAUUCCACAGCAUCCAGCUCACCUACUGCCUUUCUAGGGCCCCCAGAAGAAACAGCUGGUGAAGGAGAAGCCAGAAACCCAGGAAGAAUUGUAGGGGAUUGAAUUACACAUGGCCACUGUAACCUGGCACCUCCAAUAAAGGGACUUCAAACCAGG